CCUACGGGAGGCAGCAGUGGGGAAUAUUGCGCAAUGGGCGAAAGCCUGACGCAGCGACGCCGCGUGAGGGAUGAAGGUCUUCGGAUCGUAAACCUCUGUCAGCAGGGAAGAACGGUCACUGUGCUAAUCAGCAGUGAAUUGACGGUACCUGCAAAGGAAGCACCGGCUAACUCCGUGCCAGCAGCCGCGGUAAUACGGAGGGUGCGAGCGUUAAUCGGAAUUACUGGGCGUAAAGCGCUCGUAGGCGGUAUGUCAAGUCAAGGGUGAAAUCCCCGCGCUCAACGUGGGAACUGCCUUUGAAACUGGCAGACUGGAGUGUGUGAGAGGAGAGUGGAAUUCCAGGUGUAGGAGUGAAAUCCGUAGAUAUCUGGAGGAACAUCGGUGGCGAAGGCGACUAUCUGGCACAUAACUGACGCUGAGGAGCGAAAGCGUGGGUAGCAAACAGGAUUAGAUACCCCAGUAGUC
rnacentral:rRNA from 1 species